rnacentral:rRNA from 1 species
AACGCUAGCUACAGGCUUAACACAUGCAAGUCGCGGGGUAACAUUUGACAGAGCUUGCUCAGUCAAGAUGACGACCGGCGCACGGGUGAGUAACGCGUAUCCAACCUGGCCCAUACCACGGGACAGCCCGUCGAAAGGCGGAUUAAUACCGUAUGCAGUCAUAGACAAGCAUUUGAAUAUGACGAAAGGCUUUGCGGUAUGGGAUGGGGAUGCGUCUGAUUAGCUUGUCGGCGGGGUAACGGCCCACCGAGCCCUCGAUCGGUAGGGGUUCUGAGAGGAAGGUCCCCCACAUUGGAACUGAGACACGGUCCAAACUCCUACGGGAGGCAGCAGUGAGGAAUAUUGGUCAAUGGACGUAAGUCUGAACCAGCCAAGUAGCGUGCAGGACGACGGCCCUAUGGGUUGUAAACUGCUUUAGUGCGGGAAUAAAGUCAGGGACGUGUCCCUGAUUGCAGGUACCGCAAGAAUAAGGACCGGCUAAUUCCGUGCCAGCAGCCGCGGUAAUACGGAAGGUCCGGGCGUUAUCCGGAUUUAUUGGGUUUAAAGGGAGCGUAGGCUGUUUAUUAAGCGUGUUGUGAAAAACCCGUGCUCAACAUGGGUCGUGCAGCGCGAACUGGUGAACUUGAGUGCGGAUGCGGUAUGCGGAAUUUGUGGUGUAGCGGUGAAAUGCUUAGAUAUCACGAAGAACUCCGAUUG